rnacentral:rRNA from 1 species
UACGAAGGGGGCUAGCGUUGCUCGGAAUCACUGGGCGUAAAGGGUGCGUAGGCGGGUUCUUAAGUCAGAGGUGAAAUCCUGGAGCUCAACUCCAGAACUGCCUUUGAUACUGAGAGUCUUGAGUUCGGGAGAGGUGAGUGGAACUGCGAGUGUAGAGGUGAAAUUCGUAGAUAUUCGCAAGAACACCAGUGGCGAAGGCGGCCAACUGGGCCAUUACUGACGCUGAGGUGCGAAAGCGUGGGGAGCAAACAGG